GCUCUUCUAUCCUGACAGCCGUUAACUUCACUCUGAAGUCUGUCGGAGUGGAGUUGCCGUUUUCGGCUGUCCAAGAUGCAUGCUAAAAUGGCAGUAACACAGCUUAGCGAGUGACAGGCCAUGUAGAAAACCAUCAAACGCACGUGGCACGUGACGUCAGACGCUGAAAAAGUCCGCCUCUUGCUUUAAAAGCCUCAGGUGUUUGAAGUUAUUCCUAAUUUGUGGCUCGAGCUAGGCGGACGUAAAGCGGAGAUGGCGAGAAAUGGGGUUUCUGGGAACACAGACCAGGAGUAAUGCACCUGAGUCAAAGGAGACUCCUGAAACUGAAAGACAAGAUUGGUCAUCAUGAAGAUCUUCAACAUGCUGUACAAGCUGUGGAAAUCUGGUGUCAUAGACUGUGGAGUGGAGCUGACCCCGGUGGAUCAACUCCUUAGUUGUAAGAAGAGCUUCUCAGCCACAGGAUGUCUUCAGGAUUCCUGUCUGUUGGCAGAUGUUGAACUAGACCUUGUCAAGCAGAACAACUAAUGUGGAUGGUGUCCAGACUUGGAGAAGCACCACCCUGGUCUGUACAAGUCAGAAUUGCAACUGACAUCAUCCAGACCUGCCUUCUUCUUACUGGCUGUCUUAAGGUUCUGCCCCCAAAGAACUCGGACCCACCACAGCUGAGGAGAUGGGAAUCUGCUCAGUUUUUUUUCUCUCUCCCUUUUCUCCCUCAACGUUGAUCAUUAACAAAUCAGCAUGACAUUUCAUGAAUGUUCUAAGAUUUGGUCACUGACAAGUUAAACUACAGACUUGAUCAGACAAUCAGUCAGCGUUUGAGCUGGAUUUUCUUCACACUACUAACACUACUGUCCUAACACUUGUUCUUGGUGCUUAAAAAUCCAGUCUUGAAUUCUUACUGAGAACUGUAGCAUGGAUCCAUCUGCAUUAUUCUCUAAAAACUCUACCAACCAGUCAAUGUGAAUGAAGCUAUGAUUUAUAAUCAAGUGUUUGUAGUUAUUUGGUCAGUGACCUUUUGGCCUCUUCCAGGACUAUACAUGAGAACCAUGGUGAUGCAGUUAAUGGGUGCCUUGUUUGUUUUAAAAAAUGUUCCCAUAAUGAAGUUUUUCUACUGAUGUUCAAGUCAAAAUAAAAGCUUUUCUCCAUUAAAACUUUCCUCAGACCUA